UACGUAGGGUGCGAGCGUUGUCCGGAAUUAUUGGGCGUAAAGAGCUUGUAGGUGGUUUGUCGCGUCUGCUGUGAAAAUCCGAGGCUCAACCUCGGACUUGCAGUGGGUACGGGCAGACUAGAGUGUGGUAGGGGAGACUGGAAUUCCUGGUGUAGCGGUGAAAUGCGCAGAUAUCAGGAGGAACACCGGUGGCGAAGGCGGGUCUC
rnacentral:rRNA from 1 species